rnacentral:lncRNA from 1 species
AUUAUAGAGUUUCAGAAGAACUUAUCAAACAUUUUCGAAAGAUAGUAAAAUAAUAAUUUAUUAUAUUAUUUCUCAAGAACUUAUCAAACAUCCCCGAAGAAUAGCAAAAUAAUAAUUUAUAUAAUUCUUGAAGAACUUAUAAAGCAUCUUCGGUGGAUUUCACGAAAAAUAUUUAUAUUUAUCGAAGAUCUAUGAUCUAGCUCCCAAAAAAAAAU